rnacentral:rRNA from 1 species
GACGAACGCUGGCGGCGUGCCUAAUACAUGCAAGUAGAACGCUGAAGGAGGAGCUUGCUUCUCCGGAUGAGUUGCGAACGGGUGAGUAACGCGUAGGUAACCUGCCUGUUAGCGGGGGAUAACUAUUGGAAACGAUAGCUAAUACCGCAUAAGAGUAGAUGUCGCAUGACAUUUGCUUAAAAGGUGCAACUGCACCACUACCAGAUGGACCUGCGUUGUAUUAGCUAGUUGGUGAGGUAACGGCUCACCAAGGCAACGAUACAUAGCCGACCUGGGAGGGUGAUCGGCCACACUGGGACUGAGACACGGCCCAGACUCCUACGGGAGGCAGCAGUAGGGAAUCUUCGGCAAUGGACGGAAGUCUGACCGAGCAACGCCGCGUGAGUGAAGAAGGUUUUCGGAUCGUAAAGCUCUGUUGUAAGAGAAGAACGAGUGUGGGAGUGGAAAGUUCACACUGUGACGGUAUCUUACCAGAAAGGGACGGCUAACUACGUG